UACGUAGGCAGCAAGCGUUGUUCGGAGUUACUGGGCGUAAAGGGUGUGUAGGCGGUUCCUUAAGUUUGCUGUGAAAUCUCCCGGCCUAACCGGGAGGGUGCGGUGAAUACUGAGGGACUAGAGUACGGGAGAGGAAAGUGGAAUUCCUGGUGUAGCGGUGAAAUGCGUAGAUAUCAGGAGGAACACCGGUGGUGUAGACGGCUUUCUGGACCGUAACUGACGCUGAGACACGAAAGCGUGGGUAGCAAACAGG
rnacentral:rRNA from 1 species